ACCCAUAAAACAAAAAGUGUCGAAGUGUCGUUUUAUUUCCAUCUUCUAUCCGCGUAGCUCUGACUGUACGGCUCCUCAUCCUUAGGUUGCUAUCGGGAGAGUAUCGUGUUUCCUUCAAUUCUGGAAAGAUCGGACUUGAUCUGUUACGGAUCCAUGGCAAGAUAUGGGACCUUUUAAGAAACUUAUCUUCAUGGGUGCUGAUCUGUUGAUGGCAAGUUUACGACGGUUUCUGUUUUUUCGUUUUCUAAUUUUGUGUUCUGAUUGCUCUAUGGCUGUUUCUAACGCCUUCCUUGUCAACUCGAAGCAGAAUAUGCUGUUAUCGAAUCCAAAUGAUCCAUCUUCUUCUCUAACUCCAUCUCAGGACUCGUGAUCUUCCGAUGAACAACGGUCAAGAUGAGUCUUGAGCCAGAGAGCCCGUUGAGAGAUUUCUCCGUCCAAGCCAGCUAGCAUCUCGGCUCUGGAGCAGCUCAAGACCUAUGCUAUUGACCAGAUUGUAUACUUCUUCAAGGGAUUAAGUUCUGCUUUGAACUCUGAUUGAUUAUCACCAGUAUACACGAAAGAAGCAGCAUUGGGUGAUUGGCCUUAACAUUCACACAACUCCUGUUGAGAUGCAUGAGAAGCUUUCUUUUCCCAAAGCUGAAUGGCCACGAGCUAUCACCGAGUUAUACAGUUUGAAUCAUCUUUCUUGAAGAAGCUGCUGUUCUCAAUACUUGUAACGGUAUGGAGAUUUAUGUUCUGCCUCUAUCUCAGCACCGUGGAGUCAAAGAAGUCACUAAAUGGAUGUCUAAGACAAGUGGAAUCCCAGUUUCAGAGAUUUGUCAGCACCGUUUCCCGCAGACAAGUGGAUUUCCGCUGUGGUCUUUUGUUCUUUAGUGAGAUGGUACUCCCAAAAGUUCGUUAAAGGACAAUGGGAUAAAGAAGACUGUGUUGCUGAGUUGAACAAUUACAUAGACCGUCUCUCGAUAUUGUCUUUGGCAAAUACUAACAGAAAACUACCAGAUAUACUUGGUGAGCUAACUGCUAUCAGGAGCACAAUCAACGAUCGGACACAUAGCUCACAGCAUGUUAUUCUUACUUUACAUAUCGAUAGGGAUGUGUAUGAAUGUGUAAGCCUUUUUGACGGAUUAGCUUACGUAUUUUAUGACAAAUUGAAAAGCUAUGGGUCAGAACCAAAAGUUGUGUUGGUCACUGGCAAUCGUCUGUAUUUUUCUAAUACAAUGGUGGAUUUGAGUUCUAGAAAUUUGAAGAAUGGUGUAUAGAUUUUACUCUUUUUUAAUAGUUUUCUUAUACUGUUUUGCAUAUUGCUGCUUUGUAGGGUGAUUCUGGUAUUGUGGAAGCUACAGCCCCCAACUUUAAGUUGCAGAUCUUGAGAAACCCAACGUAUAGAAGCUAUGUCAGUUCAGAGAAACAGGGAAGAAGCAAGAGAGGAGAGAUGCACAUGAAUAGCCAAGAAGAUGCAAGAACUUAACAAAGAGCAGAUUAGGCAAAGUCACUAGCUUUAGCUGCUCGAGAGAAGCUCAGAAAAGCGAGGAAGAGUCAGGUGAAGCGAAGGCAGAAGUCUCUGUCAAUUGAGGCGGAAAGGGAAAUGAGUGCCGUGAUGGAAUUCAUGGACCAUAGUUACCUACAAUGUGGUCAUUGAAACAAAUGGAAUAUUUAUUUAGGGUAAUACAAUCAGAGAGAAUAAAACAAAGAUGUGUUCACUACUAUCAUUUUAUAAGGAUUUACUAGA